UACAGAGGUCCCGAGCGUUGUUCGGAUUCACUGGGCGUAAAGGGUGCGUAGGUGGUGAGGUAAGUCGGAUGUGAAAUCUCCGGGCUCAACCCGGAAAUGGCAUUGGAAACUACCUUGCUUGAGGAUUUGAGGGGGGAUUGGAAUACUUGGUGUAGCAGUGAAAUGCGUAGAUAUCAAGUGGAACACCAGUGGCGAAGGCGAAUCCCUGGAAAAUACCUGACGCUCAGGUGCGAAAGCUAGGGGAGCGAACAGG
rnacentral:rRNA from 1 species